GACGUAGGGGGCGAGCGUUGUCCGGAUUUAUUGGGCGUAAAGCGUGCGUAGGCGGCUGCGCAAGUCGGUUGUGAAACCCCGGGGCUCAACCCCGGAACUGCAUCCGAUACUGCGUGGCUAGAGGUAGGUAGGGGAGAUCGGAAUUCCUGGUGUAGCGGUGAAAUGCGCAGAUAUCAGGAGGAACACCGGUGGCGAAGGCGGAUCUCUGGGCCUUACCUGGCGCUCAGGCACGAAAGCUAGGGGAGCGAACAGG
rnacentral:rRNA from 1 species